CAUUCACCUUACGGGACUGUUCGUUUUUUCGUUUAUUUCACGUUGUUAUUUUGUAUUUUCAGCGUUCAGUAAAAUAAACAUCAUGAACACAUACCACGCCGCACAUUGGUUCGACAUUUCAUACUCCUCAUCAGAGGAGGACGAAGAAUUCCGUUCCGUUUCAGGCUAUAAGGUCUAAAUAAAUAGCGGACCCGUGUCACAUUGGGUGAGGCGGGAUACCGGAAGGUAUAUUUAAUUUAUAAAUGGAAAAGAGAUUGGAAAUAAAUUGAAGUAUAUACAAAAAAAGACUAAAAAUACAAAAGUACACGAGAGGACGACAAAUCACGUCUGCACGGCUACGCCAUCUUGGUUAAGUGAUCAGAACUCAUACUCUGAGGUGCUUUGUGGACAGAGGUGAGCUUGCUGCUCACUCUAACCUGUUCAGUUGUGAAGAGCCAGUUUACAAUCCCCCUGGCCUGCUUUGUCUAGUGGGGUAGGGGAGCCUACUGAAGGAGUUAGAAAUGUACAGUGCUUGUCUCUACGAGAGGGCUGUAACAUGAUGUGCUAAAAGUCACCAGCAAGGAAUUUGUAACAAAGUUUGCUUUUACAUUACAAUAAUGUAUUAUUGUAAAAUGAGUCAACUGUAAUGAUGUGUAUCUUACAGCAAUAUUCACCCUUUAUAUUCCUUCAUUGUAUUCCCCACAGAGAAGAUGAUGAUGUUUGGGAGCAAACCACCCCCAGCAAGUGCACCCGCCGGUCUUCACCCUCCUCUGCCAGAUCUACAACCCCUGGAUCGGAUCCCCAAGGUUGCUGGAUCGGAUCCCCAAGCUGACAAGGCCCUGGCUCCUCGCCCCUCUCAGACAGUUAAUCUAGAACUGCCGGGGCCUCUCAGAGAAGAGGGAGGAACAGAGCUAGGGCCACUGGAAACAGCACCGGAACCACUACAACAGAGGGAGAUGAACCUGAGCACAGAUGGCAUACAGUCAUUAUAGAUUGUGGAGCCAAUAACACCCAGAUUCAGACCCACAGUUGGAUAGUACUCAAACAUACAACCCCUUCCAGCUGUUUCAGCUGUACUCAACCACUUCUGUGCUGGGGACACUAGUAUCCAAUAGCAACAAGUUUGGGGACAAGAAGCAGCAGAGGGGGAAGAAGAUUAACUGACAUGCUCUCGUACAUUUCCCUGGUAAUAUACAUGGGACUGGCAAAGGUAUCAAGUUCCCUGCCUUAUGAAUGAAAACCGUUUCUUGGCUAUCAACUGUACUCGUCACAUGAGCGACCCACAAAAGUAUGAGGGGAAUGACAAGAAGAAGAGGAGCGCAGGGUAUGAUCGUCUCGCAAGAGUCAAGCCUGGUUAUCUUUUAGGCUUAUUCAGUGUGUAAUAGCAGUGGAAUUACCCCAUUUGGACACUUUGGAGAGGUUGAAAGGACACUUGGAUGUCAUCUGACACUAUUUGAGAGAGGCUGAUAUUGUAGAAAUUGUGUUUUUAAAGGAACAAAUAACUUUUAGGCUUAUUCAACGUGUAAUAGCAGUGGAAUUACCUCAUUUACAUACAUACAACACUUUGGAGAGGUUGAGGGGACACUUGGAGUUGACCCUUGACCGCAUCUGACACCCCUUACUAAAACAUCUAUAAAGUUCUAGCUGUUGUGUCCCCCCCAGAAGUGUUUGGCUUGUUAUGGAAGCGAGCUGACGUGUUUCCAGCUCUUUUCAUCAAGAAUUGAUUUAUAGCUUGUCCAUGAAAGACGACUUUCAAAAUAAAAUAAAUACGG
rnacentral:lncRNA from 13 species